rnacentral:rRNA from 1 species
ACGCCCGACACCUACGGGAGGCAGCAGUUGGGAAUAUUGGACAAUGGAGGAAACUCUGAUCCAGUGACGCCGCGUGAAGGAAGAAGGUCUUCGGAUUGUAAACUUAUUUUGUCAGGGAAGAAAAAAUGACUGUACCUGAAGAAAAAGCACCGGCUAACUACGUGUCAGCAGCCGCGGUAAUCUGAGCGGCUGGCAAGGC